UCCCUGGUGGUCUAGUGGUUAGGACUCUGUACUUUCACCACUGUGGCCUGGGUUCAAUCCUUGGUCUGGGAA
rnacentral:tRNA from 1 species